GACCCCACUAUUGUGGGAUUACACUGGGUAGUGACCAAGACCAAGGCAACAUUCAUGAAGGAAAUGGUUGGAAGGGGCUUCUCAUUUGACGCAACUACAAUAGAGUUAUUGAUAAACGUUACAAAGGAGAAUCCUUCCGUCCUUGACAUUACAAGAGCUUCACUCGGAAAAUAAGAAGUGAUUUCUUUUGCUUGGUUUAUUCGGCUACACUAUCAUUGCGAUACAGUUUUUUAUUACCGCAAAAGAAAUGGUUUCCAAUGCAAUUGUGGAAACUGAAAAACUGGCAACUAAAACGUUGCUUGGGCUUUCCAGGCAGGCUUAUUGAGGAGGUACAUCACUUCUGAUAUUUUGAUUGUUUUUCUACUCCUCUUUAUCUUGGAUAUCAGAUAUUACUACUCUCUUGAUAUGGUAAAUAAUGUGGGUUUCCCUUAUGUGUACACAUUAUAAGUCUAGAAAUAUAUUGUGGAGGUUUAUGUAUGAUCCAAGUGUACUGGAUUCUUUAUCGGGGAUCCACAUUUUCAUAGAAUAAUAAAAUUGUCAAAUAUAAGUUCAUUGGUCCUUUGACUAACUUCGAUGAUGGAAGGAAGGGAUUUCUUUUGAAGACAUAGACAUCUGUUUGCAAUUCUUUACUGUAAUUGUUUGUUUCUAAUAUUAGAUUAUGGAUCUCUUUUGAAGGGAUGCAUUUUCAUUCCUUCCACUAUUAUUACUAUGUAAGUUAAAGAAGACUUACUUUACACUUCCAUAUGUAAAUCAAUUCUGAAUUUUCCCUUCUUUGCUGUGACUGUAAAUAACAUAUAAAUAUUUUCAAUCUUUCUCAUUUGCAUUUGUUCUAAGUGUAACUAGACUGCAACUUGAAAUUUAGAAUAUUAUAUUACUGGGUUCGUCGAUUUCUACCUAACUUGUGUUUGUCUAACUUGUGAGUAUAAGUUAUGGUUCUGAGGUAGGUCGAGGGAUAGGAAUGAGGUAGGCAUUUUAGUAGAUAAUGACUUACGAGAACAGGUGGUAGGGGUUAAGAGAGUUAGCGAUAGGUUGAUGAUGAUUAAGCUGGUUGUUGGAGGGUUUAUUUUGCACAUUAUUAGUGCUUACGCGCUGUAAGCGGGCUUGGGCGAGGAGGAGAAAAGACGUUUUUGGGAGGAUUUGGACGAGAUGAUGGGAAGUAUACCGUCCACUGAGAAGCUAUUCAUCGGAGGAGAUUUCAAUGGGCACAUUGGGUCAAUUUCAGGGGAUAUGACGAUGUGCAUGGAGGUUGUGGUUUCAGGGACAGGAACGGAGGAGAAGGUGCACUAUUGGAUUUUGCAAAAGCCUUUGGGCUGAUGGUGGCCAAUUCGAGUUUCCCGAAGAAGGAGGAGCACUUGGUAACCUUUCGUAGUUCGGUGGCUAAGACGCAGAUAGACUUUUUACUCCUUAGGAAGGACGAUAAAGGUCUUUGUAAAGACUGCAAGGUGAUCCCGAGUGAGAAUCUAACGACCCAUAUGCUCUUGGUGAUGGAUUUAGAUAUCAAGAUGAGGAAGAGAAAGAGGGUCGUGGACGACAAGCCUAGGAUCAAAUGGGGGAGUUUGACCAUGACGGGUGCCCUGGAGAUGGGGGAGAAGCUGAGAUCUAUGGGAGCUUGGGAGAGUAGUGGGGAGGCGACCAAUAUGUGGGAUAGGGCGGCCAGUUGCAUUAGGGAAGUAGCUAGAGAGGUGCUGGGGGUCUCGAAGGGUAGCCGUGGUCGGCACCGAGGGGACUGGUGGUGGAGUGGAGGAGUUCAAGAGAAGGUGGAAGCAAAAAAGGUGGCGUAUGCGAAGUUGGUAGACAACAAGGAUGACGAAAAGAGGCGAACGAAUAGGGAAUUGUACAAGAUGGCGAGGAAGGAGGCAAAGCUAGCGGUUACAGCGACAAAGACAGCAGCUUUUGAAUGCUUGUAUGCAGAACUAGAGGACAAAGGAGGGAUAAGAAGUUGUACAGACUAGCCAAGGUGAGGGAGAGGAAAGCGCGUGACUUGAAUCAGGUGAAAUGCAUCAAGGACGAGGAUGGUAGGGUACUAGUGGAGGACGCUCUCAUUAGACGGAGAUGGCAGUCGUACUUCCACAAACUCCUGAACGAUGGAGGGGACAGAGAUAUUGCGUUGGGAGAUUUGGAGUACUCCGAGAGGUGUCGUGAUUUUGGAUAUUGUAGGAAUAUAAAGGUUGAAGAAGUUAAGGGUGCUGUUCGUAAGAUGAGUAGGGGAAGAGCGAUCGGGCCCGAUGAGAUUCCGGGGGAAUUUUGGAUGACUGCAGGCAGGGCAGGUUUAGAAUGCUUGACUCGACUCUUUAAUGUCAUCUUUAAGACGACUAAGAUGCCCGAAGAAUGGCGAUGCAGUACAAUGGUUCCAUUGUACAAGAACAAAGGCGACAUUCAAAAUUGCAAUAACUACAGAGGGAUCAAGUUGCUAAGUCACACUAUGAAAGUGUGGGAAAGGGUGGUGGAGAUGAGGGUGAGGAGAGGCGUGUCUAUCUCAGAGAACAGUUCGGAUUCAUGCCGAGGCGCUCAACUAUAGAAGCUAUUCAUCUUAUACGGAGACUGGUGAAGCAAUACAGGGAGAGGAAGAGGGACUUGCACAUGGUAUUCAUCGACCUAGAAAAAGCAUACGACAAAGUGCCGAAAGAGGUUCUUUGGAGAUGUUUGGAGGCUAGAGGUGUACCUGUGGCGUACAUUAGGGUGAUCAAGGACAUGUAUGAUAAGGCCAACACCAGGGUAAGGACUUUGGGAGGAGACUCAGAGCACUUCCCAGUGGUGAUGGGGCUGCAUCCGGGAUCAGCUCUUAGCCCAUUUUUAUUCUCCUUGGUGAUCGAUGGAUUGACGCGGUAAAUUCAAGGUGAGGUGCCAUGGUGUAUGUUAUUUGCAGAUGACAUAGUCCUGAUUGACGAGUCUCGCAGCGGGGUUAACGCUAAGCUGGAGGUUUGGAGACAAACUCUGGAGUCUAAAGGGUUCAAGUUGAGUAGGACCAAGACAGAGUACUUGGAGUGCAAGUUCAGUGAUAUAGUACAUGAGGCUGACGUGGAAGUGAAGCUUGGCACCCAGGUCAUACAGAAGAAAGAUAGUUUCAAGUAUCUUGGGUCUAUUAUACAAGGAAAUGGGGAGAUUGAUGAUGACGUCACACGUCAUAUUGAUGCAGGAUGGAUGAAAUGGAGGCUUGCCUCCGGAGUGUUGUGUGACAAGAAGGUGUCACCGAGACUUAAAGGCAAGUUCUACAAAGUGGUGGUUAGACCAGCUAUGUUGUAUGGGGCGGAGUGUUGGCCAGUGAAGAAAUAUCAUGUUCAGAAGAUGAAAGUGGCGGAAAUGGGAAUGCUGCGAUGGAUGUGUGAGCACACUAGGAGUGAUAGGAUUAGGAAUGAAGUCAUUCGAGACAAGCUUGGAAUAGCUUCAGUGGAAGACAAGAUGCGAAAAGCGAGGCUAAGAUGGUUUGGGCAUGUGAUGUGGGGAGAUGAAAAUGCCCCAGUGUAGAGGUGCGAGAGGUUGGCCAGUGACGGCUUCAGAAGAGGUAGAGGUAGGCCGAAGAAGUAUUGGGGAGAAGUGAUUAGACAGGACAUGACAUAUUUCCUGCUUACGGAGGACAUGACCUUAGAUAGGAGGGUAUGAAGGACUCAUAUUAGAGUAGAAGGAUAGUAGUUAGUCACGUUUAUCCUCCCUUGAGAGUAGUUAUGUUGUAUAGUUUCUUGUCUCUUGAUUUCUGCGAGUUUCUGCGAUUAUCUGUUGGCUUAUAAUGGCUUAUUUACCUUCAUUGUUUUCAUUUUCAUAGUUAUUUAUAGCAGUUAAUUCUCCUUUUACCAUGACUUUCUUGCUUUGUUAUCCUUUGCUUUCAUAUUGUUUUCGAUACGCUUGAUCAUAUCUAACCUUUUGUCUUGUCAUGUCUUUCUUUCUCUCCUCUCUUGAGCCGAGGGUCUUUCGGAAACAGCCGCCCUACCUUUCAAGGUGGGGGUUAGGUCUGCGUACACUCUACCCUCCUCAGACCCACAUAGUGGGAUUAUACUGGGCUUGUUGUUGUUGUUGUUGUUGUGUUUGUCUAUUAGGAUGCUUUGAUUCCUCUUUUCUCAAAUAUAUUUGCCAACAGUGAGAAGGAGUAAGUAUCAGGUAUGAUAAAUUUGUGGUGAACUGAUUCAUUUGCAGACUUACUUCAUUUGCCAAUACUGAGAUUCUUGUUCUUCUACUUUUAGGGACUAAUAUCGAGAUUUCCUCAAUCUCCUCGAGUGUUUUGGUACUAUCUCCAGAUAACUUUGAUGAGCAAGUGAUGUCUUGGUUGAAUUUCAUGCUCAUGGUAAUUUAUAAUGUCUCACUGGCAAGUCAUUCACUUGAUUCUAGAAUUGAACAGUAAGUUCUAGUUAGAUGGUCCUGGUAAAGCACCGAAGCUGUAAUUUCUUAUCCAAAAAAAGGGCUGUACUUCAUAUCAUCAUUGACAACUAACUUAGAAGAUGGAGGAAAGGGAUUUGUUUUUUCAGAUAUAGAAAUAUGUUUGCAAUUCUCUACUCUCGAUUCAGUUCAAAUUGAUCAGAAUAGGAGGGAUUCCCUAAUAUGGACAGCUAGCAAGGAUAAAAAGUUCUCAGUUAAUAACUGUUAUAAAACAUUGACGAGGCAGUCAGGCUGUUUGGAACUUAAUUGGUCAUGAAAGAUAAAGACUAAAGCUCCCAUAAAGUGGCAUGUUGGGAACACUUGAAGCAAAUCUGGUUCACUAUUCCUCUAUGGAUUUUCUGCACUCUAUGGUUGGAAAGGAAUAUUACUUGUUUUGGAAGACAAAAAAUCUAUAUCUCUAGUAUUAAGAAUAUAUGUUUGUAUAAUCCUUUUUUCUGGUGUAAUAGCAGGCAAAUUGGAAUUAUGUAUUUCAUAUAAACGUUAGGAGGAAGAGAGUAGUUGUAUCUUUGUUGUGAUACAACAUUGUCUGGAGUCCUGUACUGUUUGUACCAUCUUGGUACCUUUUAUUAAUAAUACCUUUACCAUUUCAGAAAAAGAAA